UACAGAGGGUGCAAGCGUUGUUCGGAAUUAUUGGGCGUAAGGCGCGUGUAGGCGGCUUAGCAAGUCGGGCGUGAAAGCCCUCGGCUCAACCGAGGAAGUGCACCCGAAACUGCUGAGCUUGAGUGCCGGAGAGGAUGGCGGAAUACCCCAAGUAGAGGUGAAAUUCGUAGAUAUGGGGUGGAACACCGGUGGCGAAGGCGGCCAUCUGGACGGUAACUGACGCUGAGACGCGAAAGCGUGGGUAGCAAACAGG
rnacentral:rRNA from 1 species